ACUGAGAUGGCAGAUGAAGUGCGUUAGACUUAAGCUCUAAACAUGGAAGUGGUCCUUCCUCUUAGUA
rnacentral:tRNA from 1 species